CGUGGCAGUUGUGGUGGCAGCAGUUACUGUUCUUGUCUGCAAGGACGUAAAAGAAAACCAGGACAGAAGAUGUGGUGAAUAUCUUACUGUGAUGGCAGACAGAUUGUCCCGUGACUUCAGUGAUGUACCUUG